rnacentral:rRNA from 1 species
AACGUAGGUGGCAAGCGUUAUCCGGAUUUACUGGGCGUAAAGGGUGUGCAGGCGGGGUUGCAAGUGGUGUAUGAAAUCUCCCGGCUUAACCGGGAGGGGUUAUGCCAGACUGCAAUUCUAGAGGACGAGAGAGGGGGGUGGAAUUCCGGGUGUAGUGGUGAAAUGCGUAGAGAUCCGGAGGAACCCCAGAGGCGAAGGCGGCCCCCUGGCUCGUACCUGACGCUCAGCCACGAAAGCAUGGGGAGCGAACGGGG